rnacentral:rRNA from 1 species
AUUGAACGCUGGCGGCAGGCCUAACACAUGCAAGUCGAACGGUAACAUAACUAGCUUGCUAUUUGAUGACGAGUGGCGGACGGGUGAGUAAUGCUUGGGAAUUUGCCUUUAGGUGGGGGACAACAGUUGGAAACGACUGCUAAUACCGCAUAAUAGCUACGGCUCAAAGGGGGCUUCGGCUCUCGCCUUUAGAGAAGCCCAAGUGGGAUUAGGUAGUUGGUGAGGUAAAGGCUCACCAAGCCGACGAUCCCUAGCUGGUCUGAGAGGAUGAUCAGCCACACUGGAACUGAGACACGGUCCAGACUCCUACGGGAGGCAGCAGUGGGGAAUAUUGCACAAUGGGCGCAAGCCUGAUGCAGCCAUGCCGCGUGUGUGAAGAAGGCCUUCGGGUUGUAAAGCACUUUCAGCGAGGAGGAAGGUUAAGUAGUUAAUACCUGCUUGAUUUGACGUUACUCGCAGAAGAAGCACCGGCUAACUCCGUGCCAGCAGCCGCGGUAAUACGGAGGGUGCGAGCGUUAAUCGGAAUUACUGGGCGUAAAGCGUACGCAGGCGGCUAAGUAAGUCAGAUGUGAAAGCCCCGGGCUCAACCCUGGGAACUGCAUUUGAAACUGCUUAGCUAGAGUGCGACAGAGGGUGGUAGAAUUUCCGGUGUAGCGGUGAUGCGUAGAGAUCUGAAGGAAUACCACUGGCGAAAGCAGCCACCUGGGUCGACGCUGACGCUCAUGUACGAAAGCGUGGUAGCAAACAGG